rnacentral:rRNA from 1 species
UGCAAGUAGAACGCUGAAGAGAGGAGCUUGCUCUUCUUGGAUGAGUUGCGAACGGGUGAGUAACGCGUAGGUAACCUGCCUUGUAGCGGGGGAUAACUAUUGGAAACGAUAGCUAAUACCGCAUAACAAUGGAUGACACAUGUCAUUUAUUUGAAAGGGGCAAUUGCUCCACUACAAGAUGGACCUGCGUUGUAUUAGCUAGUAGGUGAGGUAAUGGCUCACCUAGGCGACGAUACAUAGCCGACCUGAGAGGGUGAUCGGCCACACUGGGACUGAGACACGGCCCAGACUCCUACGGGAGGCAGCAGUAGGGAAUCUUCGGCAAUGGGGGCAACCCUGACCGAGCAACGCCGCGUGAGUGAAGAAGGUUUUCGGAUCGUAAAGCUCUGUUGUAAGUCAAGAACGGGUGUGAGAGUGGAAAGUUCACACUGUGACGGUAGCUUACCAGAAAGGGACGGCUAACUACGUGCCAGCAGCCGCGGUAAUACGUAGGUCCCGAGCGUUGUCCGGAUUUAUUGGGCGUAAAGCGAGCGCAGGCGGUUUGAUAAGUCUGAAGUUAAAGGCUGUGGCUCAACCAUAGUUCGCUUUGGAAACUGUCAAACUUGAGUGCAGAAGGGGAGAGUGGAAUUCCAUGUGUAGCGGUGAAAUGCGUAGAUAUAUGGAGGAACACCGGUGGCGAAAGCGGCUCUCUGGUCUGUAACUGACGCUGAGGCUCGAAAGCGUGGGGAGCGAACAGGAUUAGAUACCCUGGUAGUCCACGCCGUAAACGAUGAGUGCUAGGUGUUGGAUCCUUUCCGGGAUUCAGUGCCGCAGCUAACGCAUUAAGCACUCCGCCUGGGGAGUACGACCGCAAGGUUGAAACUCAAAGGAAUUGACGGGGGCCCGCACAAGCGGUGGAGCAUGUGGUUUAAUUCGAAGCAACGCGAAGAACCUUACCAGGUCUUGACAUCCCGAUGCUAUUUCUAGAGAUAGAAAGUUACUUCGGUACAUCGGUGACAGGUGGUGCAUGGUUGUCGUCAGCUCGUGUCGUGAGAUGUUGGGUUAAGUCCCGCAACGAGCGCAACCCCUAUUGUUAGUUGCCAUCAUUCAGUUGGGCACUCUAGCGAGACUGCCGGUAAUAAACCGGAGGAAGGUGGGGAUGACGUCAAAUCAUCAUGCCCCUUAUGACCUGGGCUACACACGUGCUACAAUGGUUGGUACAACGAGUUGCGAGUCGGUGACGGCGAGCUAAUCUCUUAAAGCCAAUCUCAGUUCGGAUUGUAGGCUGCAACUCGCCUACAUGAAGUCGGAAUCGCUAGUAAUCGCGGAUCAGCACGCCGCGGUGAAUACGUUCCCGGGCCUUGUACACACCGCCCGUCACACCACGAGAGUUUGUAACACCCGAAGUCGGUGAGGUAACCUUUUGGAGCCAGCCGC